rnacentral:lncRNA from 7 species
GCUUACAGUUGACCCUAAAGAGGGUGGUAGUGGAGGGGGGGGUCAGGCUUGGGGAAGGGUUCCCUGAGGGAACAGGAGAAAAAUAGAGAGUUGGAGAUCCUGAGGGACUGUGCUUUCCCUGAAGCCGGUUGGCAGUGUGAGGUGCCAAAACAGGAAGAGUAAUGAAAGGGUACUCAUCCUAUCUCACAUGUCAGGCAGAGGAGCGUGCAGCAGGAGGAGAUGAUGAUUUAUUGCCAACUGAUGAUAGGAUGCUUCUUCCACAUACAAACAGCUUGGGGUAAAAUUUGUCAGCCCAACACAACGGCUCAGGAUGAAUUUUGUGGAAUCUUUCAGCUCAGGUGCGGAAGGGAUCAUGAGGGACAUCUCCAUGUUGAGGAAACUAAAGGCUGGAUCAGAACAGGUUGUGCUGUAAUAAGCUUGGUGAUGCCUUGACAAUUUUGCAGGGCUAUUUAUAAGGUAUAUACAUACUUCAAAGACCGACCAUGGUCUGAGGGUGGGAAUUUGUAUGAGGUAUCAGAGGUUUAGCUACAACGAGGACUGUGGUUGCCUCUUGGUUGACCCUUUUCCAUACAUUGAAGAUAAAGGAGAGGAUCCUACUUAGACCAGUACCCUUGGUCUUGCUUAACAUUUCAUUUUAGUAGGUGUCCCAGUCUCGAACCCUUACUAAAGCCCCACUGGACUGUGGAUUUUGGGUGCGGACCCAUCUUCAGUGAGCACAAACACCCACAGAGGACCAGCGAUGGACAGAGCUGUCAUGUUCAUGCAGACUAAGUGUUCUGCAUGAAGUUCAGUGUUUUCCACAGCAAGCAAGAUUUUAAUGCUUAAAGAAGCAUAAACUGGUACAGAAAGACACUUAACACAACUUCUGGCCUGUCUCCAGUGUUUUGUGACAGCUCCUGAGUGCUGUGCAAUAAACAUGGGAACAUUGCAGUGCUUGCAGGCAGGGAGAUGGUGAGCUGCAUUCCUGCAAAUCUACAGGUGUACAGAACCAUUACUCAGCCUGGAGCUUUCUGGUGGUAGAAAUAUUGAAUCCUGUUAGCAGUGUGAGUAAUAGUUAUGCACGAAAUUAGAUCUACUUCUCAAAUCUGUCAGCUCACCUUUCUGUAAUGCAGUAGCUCCUGCAGAUACAAGGCUAAAUGAAUGAGAAAACUCUUUACUAAAACAGUAAGUUGGAGUCUACUCCUCCCGGGGUCUGCUACAGACGUCAUGUGAGAUCAAAGAAGAUUGAUUAUUUGCUGGAUUUCAUUCCAUACAAGUCAGUGAUACAGAGAUUUGAUGAGCCUGUUUUGUGGACAGCCCAUGCUUGCAGGCAAAGUCUAGCUGAAAUAACUUGUUAUCGUUGUAACAGGGAGGGCUUUUUAAUGUUUUGGCUGUUAUUUUACACUGUGCACCUGAACUGGUACAGAAAACUAAUUGAUGGAAUCGGUGUGCAGGUAUGGAGCAUUUGAGUCUAUCUUUUGUUUCUAAGGAGAGGCAAAAAUAUUUCAUCUAACUGAAUUCUCUUAAAGCAAACGUAGUGUGUAAGAGCAGAAAGCAAAUGUAACAUAUCUGUC